rnacentral:rRNA from 1 species
GACGAACGCUGGCGGCGUGCCUAAUACAUGCAAGUCGAGCGCAGGAAACUGACGGAACUCUUCGGAGGGAAGGCAGUGGAAUGAGCGGCGGACGGGUGAGUAACACGUAAGGAACCUGCCUCAAGGAUUGGGAUAACUCCGAGAAAUCGGAGCUAAUACCGGAUAGUUCAACGGACCGCAUGGUCCGCUGAUGAAAGGCGCUCCGGCGUCACCUUGAGAUGGCCUUGCGGUGCAUUAGCUAGUUGGUGGGGGAACGGCCCACCAAGGCGACGAUGCAUAGCCGACCUGAGAGGGUGAUCGGCCACACUGGGACUGAGACACGGCCCAGACUCCUACGGGAGGCAGCAGUAGGGAAUCUUCCACAAUGGACGAAAGUCUGAUGGAGCAACGCCGCGUGAGUGAUGAAGGUUUUCGGAUCGUAAAACUCUGUUGUAAGGGAAGAACACGUACGAGAGGAAAUGCUCGUACCUUGACGGUACCUUACGAGAAAGCCACGGCUAACUACGUGCCAGCCGCCGCGGUAA